UUUAUUUUUAAUAGCUUCAGGUUCUCUAAACUAAAAAGAAUCACUUUAACCCAUUCAUUACAGUCUAGGUGACAUGUUAUCGCCCAAGAACAAUAAAGAUAAUAUGAUCGUUGUCAGUUUUGUUUAUACAUGGAAAGAGCUCGUUGCUGUAUGUUGAUGCUGAUGUCUUUUAUGACCUAAACACUGAUUAGAAGAUAUGUUUGGUGACCGUAGGCAUUAAAAUUACUCUAGAUACUGGUUCGAUUAGCAUACUUUCAGCUUUAAUAAGAAACGGCAAGAGUAGUAGUUAAUACUUUGUAGGGUUUCCUUUUGUGCAUUCGUUGGGUUUCAAGAAGCUGGCAGAGGCUGAGGGUAAAGGAAUGGCAAUAAACUGUGCUUUUGCUUCACAGGACUGUCUUUUUCCAGAUCAGGAAGAAAGAACCACUGUGAAAAAUGGGCUACCUUUCAACAUAGCAAUGAGGAGCAGAAAAAAGAAAACAAGCUAGCAGGGGGGAUAAACACCUUCAGCAAUAAGACGUCUGACGGUGAGUGUCUAUGCAGUUAAUGAAAAAACUGUGACUUUCCUGUGGCUCAU
rnacentral:lncRNA from 1 species